UGUGAUUACGAAACCCUAAAAAGGAGACGUCCAUAGCUAAAUCAUAUUUGACCUUUAGUUUAGUAUUUGACUUUCAAUGACGUAAAUCUGUUUUUCUGACAUUACCUGGUAGUUGAAGUCCAGUGGCGUAACUACAGGGUGGAAAAUCGGGGAAAAUGACACGCGUCCCUGGUUCAAGAGGCCCGGGGCCUCAAUAUGACCGAGAAGCCGUGAGCUCGGGCCCUCAUUGCCCAGCCCACGGCUCUCAGUUCGUCCUAUUUGUCGGUAUAUAUAUAUACGCCACUAUAGAACACUGUUAAUUCUGCUACUUAGACGUAUUAUAUGUAUCAUAUGAAAUGCAAAAGAUUAGAUCCUAAAUUUUACUUUUACGACCAAUAGAUAACCGAAAUUGAAAUCAAUACAUGUUUCAAAUCAAUUUUCUACAGUGAAUCUCGUUUAAAAUUCCAGAUGAUUAACAGUAGCUACCAUCUUUCUGUGUUUGGUCCUACGAAUUUAUAAGAAAUAUUCAGACCAGACAAAACCAUAUUACAGAUAACACCGUCAUGACGAAGAUUCUUGUGAUUAUUACGGUAACAUUGGUGUUAUAUGCGAAGAAGAUCCAAGGACAGAAAAUACCCGGCGGCGAAACAACUCCCGAGAUCUCCUACCUACCGAUAAACUACAACGACGAGAUGUGCACAGACCUCGCAUGCAUCGAUGCGUGCUGGUUGAGAAUGAGACGCAACACGGGCUACUGCUACAGCCCUGACCUGUGCGUGUGUUAUGACAAGUAAACUUAUGUCA